rnacentral:rRNA from 1 species
GGUGAACGCUGGCGGCGUGCUUAAGACAUGCAAGUCGAACGAUCGUCUUCGGACGGUAGUGGCGCCCGGGUGAGUAACGCGUAACUGACCUGCCCCCUAGUUCCGAAUAACCCUCCGAAAGGCGGGCUAAUACGGGAUGUGCUGUCCCCUCCUGUGGGGCCAGUAAAGGCUUGACCGCUUGGGGAUUGGGUUGCGUUCCAUCAGCUAGAUGGUGGGGUAAAGGCCUACCAUGGCAAGGGCGGCUAACCGGCCUGAGAGGGGGGCCGGUCACAGGGGCACUGGGGACUGAGUUCCACUCCUACGGGAGGCAGCAGGUAGGAGUCGUGCCCAAUGGACGAAAGGCUGAGGGAGCGUCGCGGAGUGAGGGAUGAGGGUUGACGGAUCGUAAACCGCAGAAUCAGGGACGAAGGACGCGGAAGCGAGAGGACGUAACCUGAGUAAUAGCACCGGCUAACUCCGUG